GCGAACGGGUGAGUAACACGUGGGCAAUCUGCCCUUCACUCUGGGACAAGCCCUGGAAACGGGGUCUAAUACCGGAUAAUACUUCCACUCGCAUGGGUGGGGGUUGAAAGCUCCGGCGGUGAAGGAUGAGCCCGCGGCCUAUCAGCUUGUUGGUGAGGUAAUGGCUCACCAAGGCGACGACGGGUAGCCGGCCUGAGAGGGCGACCGGCCACACUGGGACUGAGACACGGCCCAGACUCCUACGGGAGGCAGCAGUGGGGAAUAUUGCACAAUGGGCGAAAGCCUGAUGCAGCGACGCCGCGUGAGGGAUGACGGCCUUCGGGUUGUAAACCUCUUUCAGCAGGGAAGAAGCGAAAGUGACGGUACCUGCAGAAGAAGCGCCGGCUAACUACGUGCCAGCAGCCGCGGUAAUACGUAGGGCGCAAGCGUUGUCCGGAAUUAUUGGGCGUAAAGAGCUCGUAGGCGGUCUGUCGCGUCGGAU
rnacentral:rRNA from 1 species